rnacentral:rRNA from 1 species
UACAGAGGGUGCGAGCGUUGUCCGGAAUUACUGGGCGUAAAGGGCCCGUAGGCGGCCAACUAAGUCACACGUGAAAUCCCCAGGCUUAACCUGGGAACUGCGUGUGAUACUGGAUGGCUUGAAUUCGGGAGAGGGAUGCAGAAUUCCAGGUGUAGCGGUGAAAUGCGUAGAUAUCUGGAGGAAUACCGGUGGCGAAGGCGGCAUCCUGGACCGACAUUGACGCUGAACGGCGAAAGCUAGGGGAGCAAACGGG